rnacentral:rRNA from 1 species
AUAACGUCCGGAAACGGACGCUAAUACCGCCUACCUCCUACGGGAGAAAGCAGGGGACCUUCCGGCCUUGCGCUAUCAGAUGAGCCUACGUCGGAUUAGCUAGUUGGUGGGGUAAUGGCUCACCAAGGCGACGAUCCGUAACUGGUCUGAGAGGAUGAUCAGUCACACUGGAACUGACACACGGUCCACACUCCUACGGGAGGCAGCAGUGGGGAAUAUUGGACAAUGGGCGAAAGCCUGAUCCAUCCAUGCCGCGUGUGUGAAGAAGGUCUUCGGAUUGUAAAGCACUUUAAGUUGGGAGGAAGGGCAGUAAAUUAAUACUUUGCUGUUUUGACGUUACCGACAGAAUAAGCACCGGCUAACUCUGUGCCAGCAGCCGCGGUAAUACAGAGGGUGCAAGCGUUAAUCUGAAUUACUGGGCGUAAAGCUCGCGUAGGUGGUUCGUUAAAUUGGAUGUGAAAUCCCCGGGCUCAACCUG